UCUCAUACGUUUAAGGCGUAUACAUUUGUUUAAGCACGAACGUCGUCGGGAGCUGUCGGUGCGUUUUUGAACUGUUGUGGCGCUGAAAUAACACAGUUUAAUAAUAUUUUUCUUCAUUUUAUUCAAUUCUAUUCUAGCCAAGAUGACGCUCAACCCCCAAUAUUUACAAAUUGGUGAAACUUUUGUCAAACAGUACUACGCCAUAUUUGACGGAGACCGAACUGGGAGAGAAAAACUUGCUAACUUUUAUCACGCUGAAUUUUCCCUGAUGUCCUUUGAGGGAGUGCAAGUUCAAGGAGCUGUUCAAAUUAUGGAAAAAAUUAAGGCGCUGACAUUUCAAAAGAUAGCCCGUGUGAUCACCACUGUGGACUGCCAACCAAUGUUUGAUGGUGGAGUUCUAAUUAAUGUUCUUGGGCAACUCAAGAUGGACGAAGAAAAACCCCACGGCUUCCACCAAACAUUUGCACUGAAGCCACUAGAAGGAAGCUUCUUUGUUCAGCACGACCUCUUCAGACUGGCUUUGCAUCAUCUGCCAGCGUAGCAUCUUUGACUCUGACUAUUUCUUGGCAUUUGGAGUUAACUUCUACUUAAUUCAAUGGACGAAGACCCUGUCCAUGGGUUUUCUCAAACCUUCUGUCUGAAACCAUUGGGUGACUCCUUCUUCAUUCAGCACGACAGUUUUCGGCUAGUGAUCCACAACCAAUAACCUGGCUCCUUAUUUCAUCUGUAUGCUGCACAUCCCUAUAGCAAUUAUUUUUUACACUUAUUUGCUUGUGGGAAGUUGGAAGGCGUGCAGGUAAAAUUAUCACCUGUUACCGUGUAAUCCAGUUCAUUUGGCCGGUUAGCUUAUCAAAAUGGAAGUAUAUCAAAGCAUAUUUUACCCGUCAACAUUUUAUUUGGGUCAAAUUAGUUGCGGUAUUACAACCUAGUUUGCUAAUCUUGGUUUGUACUAAAUCUUGAGCCUCUCAUUAGUUGCCUGUGCCGAUCAAUUUACCAGUUUUAUUAUCAGAAAAACUUAUUGCCACCAAAUCCCAUACGCCUUUAACAAUGUAUUACUUAUACCCUAAACUGCCCACUAAUCUGCUACUGCAACCAUCAAUUGUAAUAAUUAAUUUUCUCGUUCCUGGUGAGGUUUUUCAAUUCGGUUUUGCUUCGUGUCUGUUAGGUAGGUAGAUGUUGCUGAGCUUACUGAAGUGUUGAAAAUAGCUGCGAGACUGUGAUGGGUAUGCUUGUAUCUUAACAAGUGUUGGGUUCGUAGGCUGACAUUAGUACUGCAGCCACUUUUUUCAGACGUUCUUAUUGGAAAAUGUAAACGUUUAAUCUUUGAUAGGACAUUACGUCCUGCACGACUUCAGUGCUGCAUCAUUCACAUUGUGCGGCUGUGAACCGCUUCAGCUUGCAGUCGGAUGAUGUAACCUCAUUUAAACAUAGGUCUAUUAAGUGUUGCUAGACGUACGUGUGAAGGUAGUCCUAGAAUUAUCAGCUAUACCAAUAAUUAGGCAGUAACUCGAGCUGAAUGUACUACUCAAUGCUGUGAAAUGAAUACUUUUACUUAUGACAUAAGGAACAAGAUCUUGAUGUUUCAGUGCUUUGUAUGCGGCUAAGACCAAUGGAAGAUUUGAUUUUCUAACGCGUUUGUAUGUGCUAGAUACAGAUAAAGAAGUCCUGUAGAGUUGAUUGGUUUGCUUGUUGAUCGAUCAGCUUAUUUCUCUACAUUUUCCUCCAUUGUUCGGCACACUACGUUGACAGCUCAUGUAAUCACCGUAAUUCAUUAGGCACACUUUCCAUAUUCAAAAGGUUGAAUUAUUACUUCUAAUCUGUUUAAGUAUCAUUUUUUCUUAAAUCGCAUGAAUGCUGACACUGUGCGCGCCUUUAAUUGAUCAUUUGCUUGAGUGAUAUGCUAGAUUUUUAUUUCACCUUGAUCUUCAUUCUACUCGGUGUUCCUGAUUAAACUUUAUUAACUUGAUCGUCUGUUUCUUGUUAGCUAAUUAGUUGCUUUAGAAAUUCAGAAUAUUGGAAGUGAGAGAUCAAAUCAUUUAAAAAGGUAUGAUAAACCUUCAUGUGGAUUAUUUACUUUGGCGAGCUUAUGUCGCGACUUGAUAAAUUGACCUGUUGUUGUAAUUGAGUAUUUUUUAGGCAUUAAAUGAAAAAAAAUUAGAGUCGUCGCCAACCAGACCAGCAAAACCACUCUUUUAUCAUAACGCGAAUUUCUCAUUUCAUUUGAAUAGCUUACUCGUUCUUAUCCUUGAUCCAUAGGUGUCUUGUGUUGUGAAGCAUUGUUCCUCCUGUCUUUGAAAAUGGAUCUUAACGAGCGUUCAGUCUUAUCAUAGAAAAAGAUGUAGCGGUGGCUUUAAUAAUAAUUUGUAGGAAAGUCGUGCAAAUUUGAAGACGUUUCAAAAUUUUCCAUUACUUAUAAUCUUACCUGGGAUUUCAGGUUUGUGUGGCUGACGUUCAUAAUGUCUGGCACUAUUGUGGCCUAAGCUGUUUGCUUCAUUUACUUACUAACAUUUGUCACCCUUAAUAUUGCCGCAUAAUUGACUGGAAACUACGAUUGCUCGCUGGUGCUAUUAGUCCCUUUUUUCUUCAACGUUCACUCCGGUGUUUUGUGUGAGAAGUCCUGAAAUGAUAGUUAAAUUCUGCUUGAUUGAUUAUACCGGAAAUCACUUUGUA
rnacentral:misc_RNA from 1 species